UUUAAGGGAGUGAUUUUGGCGGAAAAUGACUCCUCCUCGGAUGAAGACGUGGCAUUUGACAGAAGUAUGCUGGAAGGAGAUGAUUCUGUAUUCUUGGGCCAACCUCUAAACAGUU